rnacentral:rRNA from 1 species
CCUACGGGAUGCAGCAGUGGGGAAUAUUGGACAAUGGGCGCAAGCCUGAUCCAGCCAUGCCGCGUGAGUGAAGAAGGCCUUAGGGUUGUAAAGCUCUUUCACCGGUGAAGAUAAUGACGGUAACCGGAGAAGAAGCCCCGGCUAACUUCGUGCCAGCAGCCGCGGUAAUACGAAGGGGGCUAGCGUUGUUCGGAGUUACUGGGCGUAAAGCGCGCGUAGGCGGAUAGGUAAGUCAGAGGUGAAAUCCCGGGGCUCAACCCCGGAAUUGCCUUUGAUACUGUUUAUCUUGAGUGCAGAAGAGGUAAGUGGAAUUCCGAGUGUAGAGGUGAAAUUCGUAGAUAUUCGGAGGAAUACCGGUGGCGAAGGCGGCCCCCUGGACGAAGACUGACGCUCAGGUGCGAAAGCGUGGGGAGCAAACAGGAUUAGAUACCCUUGUAGUC